GCAAGCCGAGCGGUAGAGUUCCUUCGGGAACUUGAGAGCGGCGUACGGGUGCGUAACUAGUGUGCAACCUACCUUUAUCUGGGGGAUAGCCUUUCGAAAGGAAGAUUAAUACCCCAUAAUAUAAUGAUUGGCAUCAAUUAUUAUUGAAAACUCCGGUGGAUAGAGAUGGGCACGCGCAAGAUUAGAUAGUUGGUGAGGUAACGGCUCACCAAGACAAUGAUCUGUAGGGGGCCUGAGAGGGAGAUC
rnacentral:rRNA from 1 species